rnacentral:rRNA from 1 species
CAAUAGCGUAUAUUAAAGUUGUUGCAGUUAAAAAGCUCGUAGUUGGAUUUCUGGUUGAGGCGACCGGUCGGGCGUUGAUUCGUCUGCACUGGAGUCGGUUUUGGCCAUCCUCUAGGAAAGUGCGUCUGGUAUUAAGUUAUCGGGCGUAUGAUCCUGGUCUUUUACUGUGAAAAAAUUAGAGUGUUUAAAGCAGGCCUUCGCCUUGAAUACAUUAGCAUGGAAUAAUAAGAUAGGACUUUGGUCUAUUUUGUUGGUUUGCAGACCGAAGUAAUGAUUAAUAGGGAUAGUUGGGGGUAUUUAUAUUCCGAUGUCAGAGGUGAAAUUCUUAGAUUUUCGGAAGAUAAACUUAUGCGAAAGCAUUUACCAAGGAUGUUUUCAUUAA